rnacentral:rRNA from 1 species
GAUGAACGCUGGCGGCGUGCCUAAUACAUGCAAGUCGAGCGAAUGGAUUAAGAGCUUGCUCUUAUGAAGUUAGCGGCGGACGGGUGAGUAACACGUGGGUAACCUGCCCAUAAGACUGGGAUAACUCCGGGAAACCGGGGCUAAUACCGGAUAACAUUUUGAACCGCAUGGUUCGAAAUUGAAAGGCGGCUUCGGCUGUCACUUAUGGAUGGACCCGCGUCGCAUUAGCUAGUUGGUGAGGUAACGGCUCACCAAGGCGACGAUGCGUAGCCGACCUGUGAGGGUGAUCGGGCAGCCUGGGACUGAGACACGGACCAGACCCCUACGGGAGGCAGAAGUAGGGAAUCUGCCGCAAUGGACGAAAGUCUGACGGAGCAACGCCGCGUGAGUGAUGAAGGCUUUCGGGUCGUAAAACUCUGUUGUUAGGGAAGAACAAGUGCUAGUUGAAUAAGCUGGCACCUUGACGGUACCUAACCAGAAAGCCACGGCUAACUACGUGCCAGCCGCCGCCUAA